rnacentral:rRNA from 1 species
GGUUGAUCCUGCCGGACCUGACUGCUAUCGGAUUGAUACUAAGCCAUGCGAGUCAUUGUAGCAAUACAAGGCAGACGGCUCAGUAACGCGUAGUCAACCUAACCUAUGGACGGGAAUAACCUCGGGAAACUGAGAAUAAUGCCCGAUAGAACACUAUACCUGGAAUGGUUUGUGUUCCAAAUGAUUUAUCGCCGUAGGAUGGGACUGCGGCCUAUCAGUUUGUUGGUGAGGUAAUGGCCCACCAAGACUAUUACAGGUACGGGCUCUGAGAGGAGUAGCCCGGAGAUGGGUACUGAGACACGGACCCAGGCCCUAUGGGGCGCAGCAGGCGAGAAAACUUUGCAAUGUGCGAAAGCACGACAAGGUUAAUCCGAGUGAUUUGUGCUAAACGAAUCUUUUGUUAGUCCUAGAACCACUAACGAAUAAGGGGUGGGCAAGUUCUGGUGUCAGCCGCCGCGGUAAAACCAGCACCUCAAGUGGUCAGGAUGAUUAUUGGGCCUAAAGCAUCCGUAGCCGGCUCUGUAAGUUUUCGGUUAAAUCUGUACGCUUAACGUACAGGCUGCCGGGAAUACUGCAGAGCUAGGGAGUGGGAGAGGUAGACGGUACUCGGUAGGAAGGGGUAAAAUCCUUUGAUCUAUUGAUGA